GAUGAACGCUGGCGGCGUGCCUAAUACAUGCAAGUCGAGCGAACAGACGAGGAGCUUGCUCCUCUGACGUUAGCGGCGGACGGGUGAGUAACACGUGGAUAACCUACCUAUAAGACUGGGAUAACUUCGGGAAACCGGAGCUAAUACCGGAUAAUAUAUUGAACCGCAUGGUUCAAUAGUGGAAGACGGUUUUGCUGUCACUUAUAGAUGGAUCCGCGCCGCAUUAGCUAGUUGGUAAGGUAACGGCUUACCAAGGCAACGAUGCGUAGCCGACCUGAGAGGGUGAUCAGCCACACUGGAACUGAGACACGGUCCAGACUCCUACGGGAGGCAGCAGUAGGGAAUCUUCCGCAAUGGGCGAAAGCCUGACGGAGCAACGCCGCGUGAGUGAUGAAGGUCUUCGGAUCGUAAAACUCUGUUAUUAGGGAAGAACAAAUGUGUAAGUAACUAUGCACGUCUUGACGGUACCUAAUCAGAAAGCCACGGCUAACUACGUG
rnacentral:rRNA from 1 species